rnacentral:rRNA from 1 species
CCUACGGGAGGCUGCAGUGGGGAAUAUUGGACAAUGGGCGAAAGCCUGAUCCAGCCAUGCCGCGUGUGUGAAGAAGGCCUUCGGGUUGUAAAGCACUUUCAGUGGGGAAGAAAGCCUUGGGGCUAAUACCCUCGAGGAAGGACAUCACCCACAGAAGAAGCACCGGCUAACUCCGUGCCAGCAGCCGCGGUAAUACGGAGGGUGCGAGCGUUAAUCGGAAUUACUGGGCGUAAAGCGCGCGUAGGCGGUCUGAUAAGCCGGUUGUGAAAGCCCCGGGCUCAACCUGGGAACGGCAUCCGGAACUGUCAGGCUUGAGUGCAGGAGAGGAAGGUAGAAUUCCCGGUGUAGCGGUGAAAUGCGUAGAGAUCGGGAGGAAUACCAGUGGCGAAGGCGGCCUUCUGGACUGACACUGACGCUGAGGUGCGAAAGCGUGGGUAGCAAACAGGAUUAGAUACCCCUGUAGUC